AAUGAUCUGCCGUUACUGUCUCCUGUAUAGGUCAAAGAUUGAUGGAGAAAGAAUCUGAAACCUACAGUGUAUUUUGUAUUGAGCUGGCAUUCUUGGUGGUGAAGAAUAGCGGAGGUUGACUCCUCACUGCACUGUGAAAACCAUUAGGAAAAAGUCCUUGGGGUUAAAACCCAGGACUCCACAGUGUUACCUGCAUUCGGGGCUAGAAAUUAAUUUAAAUGGCGACUGAUCUGUCUGAAGCUGAACCCGUGCAUCAUAAGGCGCUUCCACUCUUAACGGGAGCUCAGCUGAUCCACACGGACAAGUUAAGUGAGAAAGUUGAAGAAGACACAAUGCCGAUCCGUCGCUCAGUGAAUUCUUCUUCCCGGGAAACUCCUCCCAAAAGCAAACCUGCUGAAGGUGAAGAGGUCAAAGCUGACACAGAAGUCACCUCUGAGGAAUCUGCCUCUGUUGGAGAAGAACAAGAGAAUGAAACCCUGCCUGCUGCAUCCAGUGAAGCAGAACAGCCAAAGGAACCUGAGAAUGAAGGGAAGGGGGAAACAAAGUCCUCAGAAGAAACCAAAAAGGAUGAGAAGGAUCAGUCUAAGGAAAAGGAGAAGAAGGUGAAAAAGACCAUUCCUGCAUGGGCUACUCUUUCUGCUAGCCAGCUCGCUAGAGCACAGAAGCAAACUCAGAUGGCUGCCACCUCACGUCCCAAAAUGGAUGCUAUCUUAACUGAGGCCAUCAGGGCGUGCUUUCAAAAGAGUGGUGCAUCAGUCGUUGCAAUACGUAAAUACAUCAUCCACAAAUACCCUUCCCUGGAGCUUGAGAGGAGAGGCUAUCUUCUAAAGCAAGCAUUGAAAAGGGAGCUGGAGAGAGGAAUCAUUAGACAGGUGAAAGGAAAGGGAGCUUCUGGGAGCUUUGUGGUGGUGUCUAAUGCAGGAAAAACUGUUCCAAAAGCCAGAGACAGAAAGAAAAGCACUUCCGCUUCGACUGCGGAGCAACAAGUCAAGCUGGAAGAUAUCCUGCCGCUGGCUUUCACCCGCCUUUGUGAGCCGAAGGAAGCUUCUUACAGCCUGAUCAAGAAAUAUGUGUCUCAGUAUUACCCCAAACUCAAAGUAGAUAUAAGGCCCCAGCUGUUGAAGAAUGCCCUGCAGAGAGCUGUAGAGAAGGGCCAGUUAGAGCAGAUCACAGGGAAGGGAGCGUCUGGGACAUUCCAGCUGAAGAAAUCAGGGGAGAAGCCCCUGCUGGGUGGGACUCUGAUGGAAGACGCCAUCCUGUCUGCCAUUGCGGCCAUGAACGAACCGAAGACCUGCUCCACCACAGCGCUGAAGAAGUAUAUCCUGGAAAACCACCCAGGGACCAACUCCAACUUCCAGGUGCAUCUACUGAAGAGAACCCUGCAGAAAUGUGAGAAGAAUGGCUGGAUGGAGCAAAUUUCUGGAAAGGGCUUCAGUGGAACCUUUCAGCUUUGCUUCCCGUAUUAUCCUAGCCCAGAUGUGCUCUACCCAGAGAAGCAGCAGGAUGAGGACUCUGACGAAUCUGAUGAGGAAGAAGAGGAGGAAUCUGAUGAGGAAGAAGAAUCUGAAGAGGAAGAGUCUGAGGAGGAAGAGCCACCACCAAAGAAGAGGAUGCAGAAGAGACCACCUCCGAAAUCACAGAGCAGAGCCCCUCCAAUGAAGAGAAGAGAGUCCAAGCCCAAGCCAAGAAAAACCCCUGCAGCCCGCCGGGGGAAAGCAAAGCCCCCUCCCAAGGUUAAAACCCCUGCUAAGAAAGCCAAACCAGCAGCCCCGGCCAUCAAGAAACCCUCUGGUGGCAGCUCUUCCAAGAAACCAGCAGCCAGCGGGAGGAAGGAAGUAAAACCCUCCGCCAAGGGCAAAGCCACCAUGAGGAAAUCUCUCCGGGCAAAAAAGUAAAAUUUUUCCACUGUCAGGGAAUCCCAUGGUCAAAUCCACAAUCUUGUUUUAUAAGUCAAGGUGCAUUUGUAUUUUAGUUCUGAUGCUUCAACACUUCUUUAAUUUUUUUUAUUUUUUUUUUUUCUUGAAUGAUGGGGGAAAAAGUUGAAAAUUAAGUCAAACCAACCCGAGCAUUUGUUAGAUCUCAAUGCUGUGCCUCGUGCCUGCCCCUCCCCUGGAACAAGUCAUCUUUAGUUUCUGCAAUAAUUUUAGGACUUUUCUAAGACGUAUAUAUGAUCUGUACAUUUCACAGUGUUCCUCUUGGGUUUGGGGGGGAGGGUUGGCUUUUAAAAAUUCUUCAAAGAAGAUCUUUAUAUCUUUAGACAGCAGGAACAGGAUGAUUGGGGGAAUGUGAUUCUUAAUGAGAAGGCACAAUGGCAGAAGAGUCCUCCCUAGAUCCCCUGCAUGAUGAGGUCCUUAACGCUUCUGUGAAGAAGCAGUGUAUAUACAGCACUUGCACUGAGUCCUGGAGGUGCUUCUUUCUGCUCGGCCGUUAGAGCAACAGGCUGAGGAGGUGGCGCGUUUGGCUCCUUCAGGCCAGCAAGGUUUGUUUGAUGCUUUUUCCUCCUGGAAACGUAGAGAGGAGGGAAUUACAGUCACUGUGGACUGCUGCAGAGGCAAAUCUUUGUUAAAAGUACAAUGCCAGCGUGAAGGAGUUGGGGCUGGUUUAGCCUGAGCCCCUGCCGAGCUCUGUAGUUGGACCAACAUGUGACCUCUUCCUUCUGCAUUUUCUCUGGAGGCAAAGGACUGAUCCUUGCCACCCCAGAGGCAUCACAUUCCCAGGACCAGCAACCAGGAUCAAGUGGGAACAUCUCCAGCCCACGUCGGCAUUGCCGGCAGAGCAAGCGGCUGCUCUGCCGCGCCUUCAGGGAGGUUUGUGCCGGCUCCACCGCUUGCUCUUCUCCGGUCUCCACUUCCUGGCCAGGCUGGGCUCUGUUAUGUUAUUUCUC